UACGUAGGGGGCAAGCGUUAUCCGGAAUUACUGGGUGUAAAGGGAGCGUAGACGGUGAUGCAAGUCUGGAGUGAAAGGCGGGGGCCCAACCCCCGGACUGCUCUGGAAACUGUGUAACUUGAGUGCAGGAGAGGUAAGCGGAAUUCCUAGUGUAGCGGUGAAAUGCGUAGAUAUUAGGAGGAACACCAGUGGCGAAGGCGGCUUACUGGACUGUAACUGACGUUGAGGCUCGAAAGCGUGGGGAGCAAACAGG
rnacentral:rRNA from 1 species